UCAAUAUAAAUUGAUUAGUGAUUAUUUAUUAUUGUUAUUAUUGUUAUUAGUUUAAUAUAUUAAAAAUAAUUAUUUAUUGUAUUGUUUUAGUAAUAUUUAAUGAAAAAAUAAUAUUAAUUAUAGUUUAUUAGUAUUGUGAGAGAUUAUUGAAAUAUAUUGAAAAAUUUUUAUUAUAAUAGAAGAUUUAAUUUAUUGUACCUUGUGUAUCAGGGUUUAUUAAAUAUAUAAUAAAUAUUUUAUUAUUCUCGAUUUUAUAAGAGUUAAUAAGUUGUAAAAGUAAAUGUAUUAAAAUUUUUUUUUUACAAUUUAUUAGAAAUGAAAUGUUAUUCGUUUAUAAAGGUAUCUAGUUUUUUUAGAAAUAAAUUUAAUUUAUUAAUAUUUAAUUUUUUAUUUAUUUGAUAAAUAAAAAAAUUAUUUAUUAAAAUAUUUUAAGGGAUAAGCUUUAAAAUAGAUUAUUAAAAAUAAUUUAAUAUUAGUUAUUAUAUAUGUAUAGAAUUAGCAAUUAUUAAUAAGUUUGUUAUAAAAUAUUUAUUAUUUUUAUUAUUUAUUUUAUUUUAAUUUUUUAUAAAAAUUUUUGUAUUAAUAAGUUUAUUAAGAAAUAAUGAUAAAAUUAGUAUAUUUUAUUGUUUAUAAUAAUUUAUGAGAUAAGUUUUUGUAAGUAAUUCGGCAAAGUUAUGCCCGCCUGUUUAACAAAAACAUGUCUUUUAUGAGCUAAAUUAAAAGUUUAACCAGCCCAAUGAAUAUAUUUAAAUGGCCGCAGUAUUUUAACUGUGCAAAGGUAGCAUAAUCAUUAGUCUUUUAAUUGUAGGCCGGAAUGAAUGGUUGGACGAGGUAUAAUCUGUCUCAUAUAAAUUUAUAAUAGAAUUUUAUUUUUUAGUAAAAAAGCUAAAAUUUAAUUAAAAGACGAGAAGACCCUAUAAAGCUUUAUAUUUAAUAAUUUAAUUUUUAUAAUUAAUUUAUUUGAAUAUUGUGUUGGGGUGAUAUUAAAAUUUAAUAAACUUUUAAUAAGGUAUAUCAUUAAUGUAUGUUUUUUUGAUCCGUUAUUAACGAUUAUAAGAUUAAGUUACUUUAGGGAUAACAGCGUAAUUUUUUUGGGGAGUUCAUAUCUAUAAAAAAGAUUGCGACCUCGAUGUUGGAUUAAGAAUUAAUUUAGGUGUAGUUGCUUAAAUGUUAAGCCUGUUCGACUUU
rnacentral:rRNA from 1 species